rnacentral:rRNA from 1 species
UACGGAGGGUGCAAGCGUUAUCCGGAAUCAUUGGGUUUAAAGGGUCCGCAGGCGGAUUUAUAAGUCAGUGGUGAAAGCCUGAUGCUUAACAUCAGAACUGCCAUUGAUACUGUAAGUCUUGAAUUCGAUCGAAGUGGGCGGAAUAUGACAUGUAGCGGUGAAAUGCUUAGAUAUGUCAUAGAACACCGAUAGCGAAGGCAGCUCACUAGGUCUGGAUUGACGCUCAGGGACGAAAGCGUGGGGAGCAAACAGGAUUAGAUACCCUGGUAGU